rnacentral:rRNA from 1 species
GACGAACGCUGGCGGCGUGCCUAAUACAUGCAAGUCCAGCGAGACUCUUCGGAGUCUAGCGGCGGACGGGUGAGUAACACGUGGGCAACCUGCCUGUAAGACUGGGAUAACACCGGGAAACCGGUGCUAAUACCGGAUAAUCCUUUUCCUCUCAUGAGGAAAAGCUGAAAGUCGGUUUCGGCUGACACUUACAGAUGGGCCCGCGGCGCAUUAGCUAGUUGGUGAGGUAACGGCUCACCAAGGCGACGAUGCGUAGCCGACCUGAGAGGGUGCUCGGCCACGCUUGGAAUGAGACACGGCCCAGACUCCGACGGGAGGCAGCAGUAGGGAAUCUUCCACAAUGGACGAAAGUCUGAUGGAGCAACGCCGCGUGAGCGAUGAAGGCCUUCGGGUCGUAAAGCUCUGUUGUUAGGGAAGAACAAGUACCGGAGUACCUGCCGGUACCUUGACGGUACCUAACCAGAAAGCCACGGCUAACUACGUGCCAGCCGCCGCAGUAAGAC